rnacentral:lncRNA from 1 species
GCUUUCGUUCUUUUGUUGCUUCAUUCUUUCCUUGCUUUGCCGUGCGUUUUGUCCAAUUCUUUGUUCAAAACGUCAAGAACCUGGACAAUUUGCAGUCAAGACCUGCUACCGGUAACACUAUGGGAAUGUUUUUCAGUGGAACAGACGGGCCUGGGGGCUCAGGGAAACUCUCCCUAGCCUUGAGAGAUUCACUCAGCCAGAACUAAAAAUGAGGUCAGUGGGGACAGCAUGGAGAUGAGUUCGUCCAGGGUCUGCGGGUGGAAACAGGCUGUCCUGGCCGUGACUUCUGCCUGGACUGAAAGAUGCUCACCCCACAGGGAACCAGGAGGAUCAGUGUCGCUUCCAUCAGCUCAGCCCACCGGUCAAAGCUCAGUGAAUUCUCACCUGCUCUUCUGCUCUAGCUGCUUCCCUGCUGUACUCAGCCCUUACCUUCAACUCCCUCAGCACUCCUCCUCCAGUCUCCCACUCUCUGUAUCACUGGGGAUCAUUCUCAGCUGCUAGGAGCUUGUGGAUGCCUUUGAGAACCUGACGAAGGCUAUGGACAGUCUUCCCGGAGAAAAAAGCACAUAGGGAAUUCUGCCUACAAGUUUAGAAAAUUCAUGAAACCCCUAAAGCUCAUCCUUGGAGCCCACCACUUCCCUGGGCAUCCAUGGGCUCAGGACUGGGAAGGCCGGACCUGUAACCCCAGAAGCCUCUCACACUCCAUCAGGCCUGGCUGCCUGCAGCACACCUCAGCUGGUAGCACCUGCCCUGCAAUGUGCCUGUCCCUCCUCAGGGCAACCGAGAGUCUCAGAGAGCUGUUGUGGGAAAGCCUCAGGCAGAGUUCUGGCUGAGCAGAAGCUCCUGACAAGUGGUUUAAUUCCUUCCCAUGGGGGCACAGUGAGGUUCAGCAAGGCUGCCCAGGGGUGAGAAAGCAGCUGGUGCUGGCUGAUGCCUUAAGGAAGAGAGCUCCAGAACAUGGACAAAGAUGACAGGAUGGAGUACUUUAAAAACCACUUGGAAAUAUGCUUCAGUACUUCCUGCUCUCACUGCAGUCACUACAGCAACCUGCAGGUCUCAAAAGUCCCUCUUUGCUCACUGCCCCUUUCAAUUAGACAAAGUCAUUUUCAUUCUCUGUUUAGUGGGCAACAUGCCUGCGAAUACCGGUGCUUUCUCAGAACGGAGGCUUCUGAAGGUAAAAGAUGUCCGUUUCAUUGGCUCUCUUCAGGGCCAUAUGGGUGAAGAGGCAAGUGCUUCAUAAAUACCAGCCAUAGCUUUGGGGCCUGCUCUCUAGAGGCCGAUGCUUUAAUGCAGACAGCACUAACCCGGCAAGAGAGUCCCAGCUAUGAACUCUGAAAAGCAGAAGGAAAAUUAUUUUUUCCUCCCCUACCCUGGGAACUCCUGGAAGAUAAGGACCAUCAUCAUGUCGCCUGAAGUAUUUCUCUCCUAGGCCCCCACAGUGUGUGUUCACAAUGGCCUCAUUCCCCUUGCUGGCUAAUGCAGAGCUGGAAGAAGGUAUAUUCAAGCCUUUUCUUGCACAGCAAGGAGGAUGACUAAGGAGCUAAGAGAUGUGAGCCGAAGCCUCCCUCAGUGUCUAUUUGCUGACCCAAUAACCCAUCUUGAGCAUUCCUGAAGUUGGUGAAAACCAGCUCUUCACUUGAUAUAAUCUUGAAUAAAAAAAGAAAGCAUUUCCC